UUUGGAAAAGUCAUUGAUACAGAAUUACACUGGAGGACACAGUGGCAUUCCUGAAGUAUGCCAGCGAGCAGCUAACUGAGAUUAUAGAUUUGUGUACAUCAUUUGAACUUCAAUGGUUAUUUGGUAACUCUUACAAUCUAUUGCGUGUGUCAAACAGCAAAACAAAUGUAUAAAGAGGAGUGAUUGCUUCAGCAUUUCCUUGUUUUUUUUUUUCCCUAUUUGUUGCUCAUUUUUGUCUUUUUUUUUUCUUUUUUUCUUUUCUUUUUUUUUUUUUCUUUUUCUUGUAGUUUGCUUUGGUUACUGUUUCCGGUGAAGCAAGAGUUUGGAGAGUGCAAGUGGUGUUAGAACGGUGCUGUGCACAGCUGGGAACGAAGGCACCUCCCCAUGCAAAGCCAGCUCUCGGAUCCGAACCGAUGCAAAGGGAAAGUCUCCGUGCAGGGGGCACGUCGGGGCUGUCCUCGGGCAGGCGCAGCGGCAGCACCGAGCACAGACCUGGACCUCUGGGUGCAGAACUGAAUUUUCUGAUUUCCAGAUGCAACUGCAAUAUAAAGUAGAAAUAAAACAAGGCAGUUAAAUUGUUGAAGCCCA
rnacentral:lncRNA from 1 species